AACCUACAAGCUCUCCCUGCCCCCCACUCGGCUCUCCUGUUUCUAAAAUCCAAGAGAAAAAGGACACCUUCUCCUGGGGACUGGCGCUGGAACCCUGUUGGUGAAUGCUGAGGAAGGGGGAGAAAGUUACUUCGCAGGCAGCAGGGAUGGAUGGGCUCACCUUCCAUGUUUGUUGCCAUGGAGAUGAAUUCCAGCCAGUAGACUUGUUGGCAGGUUUGUCUGUGCUCGCCGAUCUCGGUUCGUGUAAACGGCGUGUUCUGAGGACCUGCGUGGAGUCACAGGACCGUGGGUAGCGCUUUCCUGGCCUAGACGCCCUGGAGCUGUCCGCAGUGCUGAAACGCUGAAGCUGACCUCUUUCCUGCAAGAAGAUACUGAACUACCAUUGUGACAAAACCAUUAUACUUGUGGAUUAAGGCGUGAGCUUGCAGCUGCUGUGCCUGCCAGCCUGUGGUCAUGCUCCCUGCUGUGACGGUCAGGGACUCUGUCUGAAAGGGACCAUUGAAGAAAUGCACAUUGCAAUGAACACAUGCUCUUCAAAUUCUUGCACAACUUCCAUAGAAACUACUGAGAGAAAUGAGACUCACAACAGCCUUCUAAAGUGAUGAGGCUCACCCAUGCUUUCAAAGCCUAUGAUCUACUAUCAGAACUAAAAACCAGGUGCUUUCCAACCUCAGUUCUGCCAAUGAAGAACAGUGUUGCAAAUUUCCCAGGAAGCAGAGGAGAAAGUAUUUGUCCCAGCAGCUGCUGCAGGGAAGGAACUGCUGUCUUUACCUGAAGAGAAGUGGAGAACUGAAAUGCCUCAGCCGAGGAGAAAGCCUAAUUUUCUCUGCCAGAUUCCAGCACCUGUCUGCUAACUGCAACCAUUAGGCCCCAGGGGUGACAGUACAGAAACACAAAAGUAUCUGUUGUGUUUAGGACACUAUGUGGGUAGAACGCCAAACUCAGAAUUUUGUAGAUGACUCUCAUCUCUAAUAAACUGUGUCUGCCUU
rnacentral:lncRNA from 1 species